rnacentral:sRNA from 1 species
GUCUUAACAAGAAGAGAAGGCUUCAAUGGAUUCUCUUGUGGUCCUUGUGCUCUGUCUCUCAUGUUUGCUUCUCCUUUCACUCUGGAGACAGAGCUCUGGGAGAGGAAAACUCCCUCCUGGCCCCACUCCUCUCCCAGUGAUUGGAAAUAUCCUACAGAUAGGUAUUAAGGACAUCAGCAAAUCCUUAACCAAUCUCUCAAAGGUCUAUGGCCCUGUGUUCACUCUGUAUUUUGGCCUGAAACCCAUAGUGGUGCUGCAUGGAUAUGAAGCAGUGAAGGAAGCCCUGAUUGAUCUUGGAGAGGAGUUUUCUGGAAGAGGCAUUUUCCCACUGGCUGAAAGAGCUAACAGAGGAUUUGGAAUUGUUUUCAGCAAUGGAAAGAAAUGGAAGGAGAUCCGGCGUUUCUCCCUCAUGACGCUGCGGAAUUUUGGGAUGGGGAAGAGGAGCAUUGAGGACCGUGUUCAAGAGGAAGCCCGCUGCCUUGUGGAGGAGUUGAGAAAAACCAAGGGUGGGUGACCCUACUCCAUAUCACUGACCUUACUGGACUACUAUCUUCUCUACUGACAUUCUUGGAAACAUUUCAGGGGUGGCCAUAUCUUUCAUUAUGAGUCCUAGUUGUUAGCUCAUGUGAAGCGGGGGUUUGAAGCUGAGAGCCAAGGGAAUUUGCACAUAUUUGUGCUGUGUGUGUACAGGCAUGAUUGUGCAUACAGUGUGGGUAUAAAAGGUUCAUUUAAUCCCAUGUUCUCCUGAAUUUUGCUUUUUUGCUUUCAAAUAAGAAAUGAUGAAUAUAGAUUUUGAGUUCAUUUUUUGAAAGGGUUAAAGAGCAGUGUUUUUCCCAUUACCUAUUCCAGAACAUGUGACCAGAGAAUACUUGACAAGUCGACACGGUGGGAAUGGCCCUAUCAUACCCAUAUGGAGCAUGAACCAAAUGGCAUGUGCUUUUAUUUAAUUGGACUGUGUUUGUAUGGUCAGCCUCACUGACUUCUCUGGGGUUUCUUUUAGGCCCAUGCUUGCCAUUCUGGCCAGUAAUGACAUUCUACAGUUUUUAUUGCUUAGGCAUAUCUUAGUGCAGUUCUCAUCAAUUAUUAUUUCUCUGUAAACACAGCAUUAUUUUUAAAAUAGUAUUAAUUAUUUCUUGUUACUGUAUUGAUUUAUAUAUUUUCAGUAAAUACAUCCUGUAGCAUAAUUCUGUGAAAUACCCAAAUGUCAAUUUAUAAAAUGAUUUAUUUAACAAGAUUUUACUUAUUAGUAAUAACUCUGUAAUCUGCAUUCCCUAUGUAUGAUUUGGCUCUGUUUCAGUUUUGCUUAUCUCUUUCCAACCAUAUUUAUGAAAUUUUGGCUUAGAAAUUUAUGUUAAUUGUUUUUUUUCCAUGGCCAACUCUACUCAUCUAUGAAGUUUUACAAUGAAUCUGUUUAUCAGCUUGGAUACCAAA